AUGCGUGGUCCUCGAAAACCGCGAACUAGGGACCACUGGAAAAUCAUCAGUCGAGCCCCGGAGGAUAACCGAAGGGAGCUAGCGGAUGAAUUUCUUCUGCCGCAUAGGUCUCCGCACCUCUUGCAGCACUUUCCCCGUGCACCCUCGUCUGAUUGUGUCCCCCUUUUGCUCCUUCUCUCACAAAUCCGAUGCUUGCGCACAAGUCGCGCAAAAUGCAACUCGAACGUGGAAUACAUAUUUUCAGGCCGCUUUCGUCGUCGACGAAUAAGCACGAAGAAGGGGCAUGCAUCGGACGAUCAGCACAGUCGAUGUCAUUUUCUCGCGUAUGGCGCGCGGCGUCGCGUUUAAUUCGCGCGAUUGAUUACGCGCAAAGAGAGUUAGACCUGGCCUCCGUCCGGAUUCCGUCUUACUCGAAUUUCCGCCCUGUCUCGGCCGCGAGACAACUGUUUGUUCGUUGUCGCGAAACUGCAUGUAGUCCGUUGCAGCUGGAAUUCGAAACAAAACUCGAGCCAGACUCAGGAUCGGGGAGACUCUGGCUCUUGCGGUAAAUAAAAAAUGAAAAAGGAAGAGAAGCAGCGAAUAGUCGCAGAAUGGAAAAGUGGGUAGGCAACGACACUCAACGGUUGUGCAACUGUUGUGAGUGAUUUCGUCCUGAACGCCACUGAGCGAUGCGCUCACUCGCAAUAUGUUGAGUGAGCGGUCGCCAUUUUUCCCGUCAUAAAUAUUCGUCGCUACCAUUACUCAUCAGUCACCGAUCCGACAUGGCGCAGCCCAUAAAUGAAGAGAAUAACAAAGAAAAUAGUUAUAUAAAUUCAAAUAUAUCCGAGAUCUUUUGGAAACGAAAAAUUGUGAAGAUUGGUCAAAUCAA
rnacentral:misc_RNA from 1 species